rnacentral:rRNA from 1 species
GACAGAGGCCUCAAGCGUUGGGCGGAAUCACUGGGCUUAAAGCGUGUGUAGGCGGACUUCUAAGUGCCUUGUGAAAUCCCACGGCUCAACCGUGGAACUGCUGGGCAUACUGGGAGUCUUGGGCCAUUCAGGGGCAACUGGAACAAGCGGUGGAGCGGUGAAAUGCGUAGAUAUCGCUUGGAACGCCGAAGGUGAAAACAGGUUGCUGGGGAUGUGCCGACGCUGAGACACGAAAGCCAGGGGAGCAAACGGG